rnacentral:rRNA from 1 species
GGAUCCAGACUUUGAUUAUGGCUCAGGAUGAACGCUAGCUACAGGCUUAACACAUGCAAGUCGAGGGGAAACGAUAUUGGAAGCUUGCUUCCGAUAGGCGUCGACCGGCGCACGGGUGAGUAACGCGUAUCCAACCUGCCCAUCACUUGGGGAUAACCUUGCGAAAGUAAGACUAAUACCCAAUGACGUCCAUAGAAGACAUCUGAAAUGGAUUAAAGAUUUAUCGGUGAUGGAUGGGGAUGCGUCUGAUUAGCUUGUUGGCGGGGUAACGGCCCACCAAGGCGACGAUCAGUAGGGGUUCUGAGAGGAAGGUCCCCCACAUUGGAACUGAGACACGGUCCAAACUCCUACGGGAGGCAGCAGUGAGGAAUAUUGGUCAAUGGGCGAGAGCCUGAACCAGCCAAGUAGCGUGCAGGAAGACGGCCCUAUGGGUUGUAAACUGCUUUUAUAAGGGAAUAAAGUGAGUCUCGUGAGGCUUUUUGCAUGUACCUUAUGAAUAAGGACCGGCUAAUUCCGUGCCAGCAGCCGCGGUAAUACGGAAGGUCCGGGCGUUAUCCGGAUUUAUUGGGUUUAAAGGGAGCGUAGGCCGGAGAUUAAGCGUGUUGUGAAAUGUAGACGCUCAACGUCUGCACUGCAGCGCGAACUGGUUUCCUUGAGUACGCACAAAGUGGGCGGAAUUCGUGGUGUAGCGGUGAAAUGCUUAGAUAUCACGAAGAACUCCGAUUGCGAAGGCAGCUCACUGGAGCGCAACUGACGCUGAAGCUCGAAAGUGCGGGUAUCGAACAGGAUUAGAUACCCUGGUAGUCCGCACGGUAAACGAUGGAUGCCCGCUGUUGGUCUGAAUAGGUCAGCGGCCAAGCGAAAGCAUUAAGCAUCCCACCUGGGGAGUACGCCGGCAACGGUGCAACUCAAAUGAAUUGACGG